rnacentral:rRNA from 1 species
UACGGAGGGGGCUAGCGUUAUUCGGAAUUACUGGGCGUAAAGCGUGCGCAGGCGGUUUUGUAAGACAGAUGUGAAAUCCCCGGGCUUAACCUGGGAACUGCAUUUGUGACUGCAAGACUAGAGUGCGGCAGAGGGGGGUAGAAUUCCACGUGUAGCAGUGAAAUGCGUAGAUAUGUGGAGGAAUACCGAUGGCGAAGGCAGCCCCCUGGGUCGACACUGACGCUGAGGCGCGAAAGCGUGGGGAGCAAACAGG